rnacentral:rRNA from 1 species
GAUGAACGCUGGCGGCGUGCUUAACACAUGCAAGUCGAACGGAAAGGCCAGUGCUUGCACUGGUACUCGAGUGGCGAACGGGGGAGUAACACGUGGGUGAUCUGCCCUGCACUGCGGGAUAAGCCUGGGAAACUGGGGCGAAUACCGGAUAGGACAAUGGGAUGGAUGCCGUUGUGGAAAGAUUUUUCAGUGUGGGAUGAGCUCGCGGCCUAUCAGCGUGGUGGUGGGGAAAUGGCCUACCAAGGCGUCGACGGGGAGCCGGCAUGAGAGAGUGUACGGCCGCACCGGGCCCCUGAUGCAGGCCGGAGUCCUGAGUGUGGCGGCAGUGGCGAAUAUUGGACGAUGCGCGCCCGCCUGAUUCAUGAAGGCCGUGUGGGCGAUGACGGCCUUUGGGUUGUAAGCUCCUUUGUCUAGGGACCAAGCGUCUUUUUGACGGUACCUGGAGAAGAAGCCCCGGCUAACUACGUG